rnacentral:rRNA from 1 species
AUUGAACGCUGGCGGCAGGCCUAACACAUGCAAGUCGAGCGGAUGAAGGGAGCUUGCUCCUGGAUUCAGCGGCGGACGGGUGAGUAAUGCCUAGGAAUCUGCCUGGUAGUGGGGGAUAACGUCCGGAAACGGGCGCUAAUACCGCAUACGUCCUGAGGGAGAAAGUGGGGGAUCUUCGGACCUCACGCUAUCAGAUGAGCCUAGGUCGGAUUAGCUAGUUGGUGGGGUAAAGGCCUACCAAGGCGACGAUCCGUAACUGGUCUGAGAGGAUGAUCAGUCACACUGGAACUGAGACACGGUCCAGACUCCUACGGGAGGCAGCAGUGGGGAAUAUAGGACAAUGGGCGAAAGCCUGAUCCAGCCAUGCCGCGUGCGUGAAGAAGGUCUUCGGAUUGUAAAGCACUUUAAGUUGGGAGGAAGGGCAGUAAGUUAAUACCUUGCUGUUUUGACGUUACCAACAGAAUAAGCACCGGCUAACUUCGUG